CUACGGGGCGCUGCAGUGGGGAAUUUUGCGCAAUGGGGGCAACCCUGACGCAGCAAUACCGCGUGAGUGAAGAAGGCCUUUGGGUCGUAAAGCUCUUUUCUAAGGGAAGAUAGUGACGGUACCUUAGGAAUAAGCACCGGCUAACUCCGUGCCAGCAGCCGCGGUAAUACGGAGGGUGCGAGCGUUGUUCGGAUUUACUGGGCGUAAAGGGCGCGUAGGCGGCUUAGCAAGUUAAGGGUGAAAUCCCGGGGCUCAACCCCGGAACUGCUCUUAAAACUGCUAAGCUAGAGAUGGUCAGAGGCGGGUGGAAUUCCAGGUGUAGAGGUGAAAUUCGUAGAUAUCUGGAGGAACACCGGUGGCGAAGGCGGCCCGCUGGGGCCAUUCUGACGCUGAUGCGCGAAAGCGUGGGGAGCGAACGGGAUUAGAUACCCGAGUAGUC
rnacentral:rRNA from 1 species